CUUUAAGCUCCACCUACCAUCGCCAGCCCUUCAGGUUCCUUCCUGCCUGUACACCGCCACCUCAGCCUCGGUCGUGGUGGGCCAGUCUGCAGGCCACCCCCUUCCAUUCCUGUCGUGGGGCCCACACCAGCAACUUCACAGACUCCUGUUCCCUGUGCAGCUGACAUCUCUGCCGCCCACACCCACACCCUGCGGUCUGCGCUGCCAACGGCAUCUCCUCGGCGACUCUAAGCUCGGCGGCUGCCACUUCCCCGUGGACAUCACUGCAGGCCCAUCACCGUCUGGUACAGUCUCUCCUGCCAUGUCUGCCACAGAGGAGCACGACUGGAUGCCAGGUGGCCUGGACAGGGCUGGUGGCAGGGCAGGCUGUGACCCCAGUCCCCUUGGGGUCCUGGCACCUGCUUGGGAGGGGACGGAUGUGGUUGAGGAGGCCGCGGCCCUUCUGCCCUCCCUGAGGGUGUCAGGAGGCCUUCGCAGGGGGCACGGUGGGCCACAGGCCACAAUGGAAGAGUGGGCUAUAGAGCCGUUAGAGGAGGAGGAGUCUCAUUUCGAGCUGGAGGCCCUGGAGGAGGAGGAGCACCUGGAGGAGGAGGAGCACCUGUUGGAAGAGAUCGAGGAGGAGGAGACAGUAGAGAAUGAUGAGAUUCCAGUCCCAAAGUCUGUAUUAUACUUCACAAAAGAAGCGAGUGAUUAUCAGUAUGAAGAGUCUGAUGAGGAGGUCCAAGAAGCUGAAGGUGAGGAGGAGGACAGCGAUAAAAAACCAGAAGAAGGACCUGGAAAGGACCUGGACCCAGCAGAGGACAGCCCGGG
ensembl:lncRNA